CUUUGUCCAGAUAUAUCCAGAAUAUAUUUUUAGUCUGAAACACAAGCCAACAACACGAGUAUAUCCAAAUUUAUUCAGCUCCAAUAUUUUGUGACAGUAAAAUAAGUUUUGAACAAAAUUUAUUUAUUUGUUUCCCUAAAUUAAAAUGAAUACGAUUGAUCAGAAGAAAGCAGUGCGUCGAGUCCAUUCGUGUGGCAAUAACUACUAUACAAUGUUGGAUGUGCCUCACAAUGCCACAGAAGCUCAAAUAUUAAUGUCCUUCAAAAAGAUGGCCAAGAAAAUACAUCCAGAUAAAAAUUUCGACCCCAGAGCCACUGAAACCUUUCAAGCCUUUCUUAACGCUGAAAAUGUCUUAAUGGAUAGUACCAAGCGCAAAGACUUCGAUCAAAAACUACGUUUCAGCUACGGCAAGACCAGGUACAAUCGCUACGGCAAUAUCAAGCGAAAUGGCGGAUCAAAUGGCAGAUUCGACGCCGGACGUAAUGGCGGCCGAUUCUCGUCCUUCAAACCUCAAUCGGUUUUUAUCGUAUUGAUAUGCAUUUGUGAGCACACUCCAACAAGGUAAAAUGGUUUCCAAGAGGCUUAUAUGUCGUGAAGCAGUCCUGGUUCUGUGCUAAAUAAUAUGGAACCUUUAUGUUACUGGAAACUUCUCCGAGCUAUUCAGGCUAUAGCUCGGAAUAUAGAUGAGAUAGGCCAUUAUCAAGCCAAAGAUUAUCAAUACCCAUUGAGGUUUGAACGAGAAUCGGCCGCCAUUACGGGUUUUUAUCGUAUUGAUAUGCAUUUGUGAGCACACUCCAACAAGGUAACAUGGUUUCCAAAAGGCUUAUAUGUCGUGAAGCAGUCCUGGUUCUGUGCUAAAUAAUAUGGAACCUUUAUGUUACUGGAAACUUCUCCGAGCUAUUCAGGCUAUAGCUGGGAAUAUAGGUGAGAUAGGUCAUUAUCAAGCCAAAGAUUAUCAAUACCCAUUGAGGUUUGAACGAGAAUCGGCCGCCAUUACGGGUUUAAAUCGUAUUGAUAUGAAUUUGUGAGCACACUCCAACAAGGUAACAUGGUUUCCAAAAGGCUUAUAUGUCGUGAAGCAGUCCUGGUUCUGUGCUAAAUAAUAUGGAACCUUUAUGUUACUGGAAACUUCUCCGAGCUAUUCAGGCUAUAGCUGGGAAUAUAGGUGAGAUAGGCCAUUAUCAAGCCAAAGUUUAUCAAUACCCAUUGAGGUUUGAACGAGAAUCGUCCGCCAUUACGGGUUUUUAUCGUAUUGAUAUGCAUUUGUGAGCACACUCCAACAAGGUAAAAUGGUUUCCAAAAGGCUUAUAUGUCGUGAAGCAGUCCUGGUUCUGUGCUAAAUAAUAUGGAACCUUUAUGUUACUGGAAACUUCUCCGAGCUAUUCAGGCUAUAGCUGGGAAUAUAGGUGAGAUAGGCCAUUAUCAAGCCAAAGUUUAUCAAUACCCAUUGAGGUUUGAACGAGAAUCGGCCGCCAUUACGGGUUUUUAUCGUAUUGAUAUGCAUUUGUGAGCACACUCCAACAAGGUAAAAUGGUUUCCAAAAGGCUUAUAUGUCGUGAAGCAGUCCUGGUUCUGUGCUAAAUAAUAUGGAACCUUUAUGUUACUGGAAACUUCUCCGAGCUAUUCAGGCUAUAGCUGGGAAUAUAGGUGAGAUAGGCCAUUAUCAAGCCAAAGUUUAUCAAUACCCAUUGAGGUUUGAACGAGAAUCGUCCGCCAUUACGGGUUUUUAUCGUAUUGAUAUGCAUUUGUGAGCACACUCCAACAAGGUAAAAUGGUUUCCAAAAGGCUUAUAUGUCGUGAAGCAGUCCUGGUUCUGUGCUAAAUAAUAUGGAACCUUUAUGUUACUGGAAACUUCUCCGAGCUAUUCAGGCUAUAGCUGGGAAUAUAGGUGAGAUAGGCCAUUAUCAAGCCAAAGUUUAUCAAUACCCAUUGAGGUUUGAACGAGAAUCGUCCGCCAUUACGGGUUUUUAUCGUAUUGAUAUGCAUUUGUGAGCACACUCCAACAAGGUAAAAUGGUUUCCAAAAGGCUUAUAUGUCGUGAAGCAGUCCUGGUUCUGUGCUAAAUAAUAUGGAACCUUUAUGUUACUGGAAACUUCUCCGAGCUAUUCAGGCUAUAGCUGGGAAUAUAGGUGAGAUAGGUCAUUAUCAAGCCAAAGAUUAUCAAUACCCAUUGAGGUUUGAACGAGAAUCGGCCGCCAUUACGGGUUUAAAUCGUAUUGAUAUGAAUUUGUGAGCACACUCCAACAAGGUAGCAUGGUUUCCAAAAGGCUUAUAUGUCGUGAAGCAGUCCUGGUUCUGUGCUAAAUAAUAUGGAACCUUUAUGUUAGUGGUCGUGCACUUUACUGGAAGCUUCUCCGAGCUAUUCAGGCUAUAGCUGGUAAUAUAGAUGAGAUAGGCCAUUAUCAAGACAAAGAUUAUCAAUACCCAUUGAGGUUUGAACGAGAAUCGGCCGCCAUUACGGGUUUUUAUCGUAUUGAUAUGCAUUUGUGAGCAUACUCCAACAAGGUAACAUGGUUUCCAAGAGGCAGACAAAGAUUAUCAAUACGAUAAAAACCGACUGAGGUUUGAACGACGAGAAUCGGCCGCCAUUACGUCCGGCGUCGAAUCUGCCAUUUGAUCCGCCAUUUCUCUUGCUAUUGCCGUAGCGAUUGUACCUGGUCUUGCCGUAUCUGCAACGUAGUUUUUGAUCGAAGUCUUUGCGCUUGGUACUAUCCAUUAAGACAUUUUCAGUGUUAAGAAGGGCUUGAAAGGUUUCAGUGGCUCUGGGGUCGAAAUUUUUAUCUGGAUGUAUUUUCUUGGCCAUCUUUUUGAAGGACAUUAAUAUUUGAGCUCCUGUGGCAUUGUGAGGCACAUCCAACAUUUUAUAGUAGUUAUUGCCACACGAAUGGAUUUGACGCACUGCUUUCUUCUGAUCGAUCGUAUUCAUUUUAGUUUAAGGAAA